rnacentral:rRNA from 1 species
UACGUAGGGCGCAAGCGUUGUCCGGAAUUAUUGGGCGUAAAGAGCUCGUAGGCGGUUUGUCGCGUCUGCUGUGAAAACCUAAGGCUCAACCUUGGGCUUGCAGUGGGUACGGGCAGACUAGAGUGCGGUAGGGGAGACUGGAAUUCCUGGUGUAGCGGUGAAAUGCGCAGAUAUCAGGAGGGAACACCGGUGGGCGAAGGCGGGGUCUCUGGGCCGUAACUGACGCUGGAGGAG